rnacentral:lncRNA from 1 species
CUCUUGUCACAGCUGUAUCUUACUGUCUUUUGUGGGUGUGCCUCCCAUCAUAGUAUCAGGUGCACCACACAUUUAUGAGAACUCUUUGAGCAAUGUCACGGACAAACCUAAAGCAGUUCCACAGAUGUGUGGCCCGUUCUGCUGUAACAGACACACGCCCACAUUGCUCUGACGGUUGUACAAAAAGCUUUGAGAAGCAACAUACGGUACUUCCUGUCCACUCCCACACCUGGAGUAUAGAACUGGUAAAGUUUUUAUUUUUAAUUUUAAUUAUUCAAAGAUGAGUGGUUAUUCACAUAAAAGCUAAUGGCAUCAUUUUAAAAGGAAAACUCUGCAUGGCUAUAGUUUUUCAGGAACAUUUUCUUCUUUUAAUUCACAAUUCUUUGGACCAUAUGUGCUCCUCUUUCAAUCUUAACACCACAAUCUUAUGCAUGAAUUAUCAUGGGUAGUUUCCACAGAGUUACAUGGGACUCACUUCCACAUAUAUGAGAUUACACACACACACACACACACACACACACACACACGUUAAACAAGCUUAUCAGUCUUCUAAUCAACUGACUUCAAUGAGCUCCCUCUCUCUUUCAUUUUUACAAUUAUCAUUCUACUCAAAUAAAAACUGACUAAAAAUUAGCGCUACUAUAGUGAUAAAACAGGUAGUAGCUACUAUUUAUUCACAAAUGUAAUUGUGGGAGACGAGGAGUGAGAGCUCUGGAAGCUUCCUGGGGCCCUGCUGCAACUUUCUGAAAGCAUAGUGAGGAAGGAAAAUCCACUAGGUCUGUGAGUGGAAAAUAUACAGUCAUACCUCAUGUUACAUCUGCUUCAGGUUGAGCAUUUUCAGGUUGUGUCCCGCGGCAACCCUGAAGUGCCGGAAAGGGUUACUUCCGGGUUUCACCGCUUGCGCACGCACAGUCACGGAAAGUGACGUCACGCGCAUGCGCAGAAGCGGCAAUUUGUGACCCACGCACGCGCAGACGUGGGUUGCGUUCUGCUCAUGUUGCGAAUGGGCCUCCGGAACGGAUCCCGUCUGCAACCAGAGGUACCACUGUAUAUCAAUAAAUGGAGAACAGGGAAUGACAAGUUUUCCCUGCUCACCACUUAUUCCCACCCCACCCCACCCCCCCACAUGUGGGGUUACGAUCACAUAAGUAAAGUGAGUGUAAGCUGUGGAUUUAUUCUGUAGCGCAUCCCCGGCUUAACAACUCAGGAAAGGUCUUUUUUGCUGCCUCGGUAUUUCCAGCAUUACUAGAGGUAUCAAAUGGCUUGCAUUUAAAGGUCCUCACCAGGCCUGGUUUGCUUAGUCAUAUGUAUUUCAUAGUACCCUGACAUGCAAAAUUUUAACAGGCCUAUUUCCAACACAAAGAUAAAGAGACAGAAAAUGGUUCAUUGGCUUUCUUUCUUUCUUUGUUAGUUUCAUAAUGACUGCUGUUAAAACACACAUGAGCAGGGCCAGUUUGGAAGGGGGGUGGAAAGCAACUCUGUUUCCCCCUCCAGCUGCAGUUUUUUAGAAAAUGGUCCUAAUGAGCUCCCAUUUCAUGCAGGAGCUAGUGACAAAUGUUCAUUCACCUAUUCAUCUUAUUUAUUUGGUAUUAUUGUACACUGCUUUUCAUCAGCAAUGCAAUUUACAAUUAGGUUACCAGAUUCUUUUCAAUGACACAAUAAAUAAAUAAAUAUUUUUUUUAAAAAAAGAGAGAGGAAAAAAGUUAUUAAAAAAAUAAAGAAGUAACAUCUUCUCUUCUGUAGUCUCUUCUGUUACACGGCCUUCCUCUGGGUCCUGGCCUUUCUUGAAGCACUAACCAUGCUUCCCCCCUCCCUCCCUCCCCCUCCUUGCACUGCGAUCCCCUACAGGCUUACUUGGAAGUAAGUGUUAGCAGAAACCCCCUCCUCUUGCU